UAAUACGUAGGUGGCGAGCGUUAUUCGGAUUUACUGGGCGUAAAGGGUCCGUAGGGGGAUUAUUAAGUCAGAUGUGAAAUUUCAGGGCUCAACCCUGAACCUGCAUUUGAAACUGGUAGUCUAGAAUCCGGUAGAGGUAAGUGGAAUUUGUGGUGUAGCGGUGGAAUGCGUAGAUAUCACAAGGAACAUCCAAGGCGAAAGCAGCUUACUGGGCCGGUACUGACCCUGAGGGACGAAAGCUAAGGUAGCGAAAAGGAUUAGAUACCCUUGUAGUCUUAGCCGUAAACGUUGUACACUCGAUGUCGGGGGAAUUAGCCCCUUCGGUGUCUAAGCUAACGCGAUAAGUGUACCGCCUGGGAAGUACGGUCGCAAGACUA
rnacentral:rRNA from 1 species